rnacentral:tRNA from 1 species
AGCCCCGGAGCCCCUUAAGGGCUCAUCUUUAAAUUUGCAUUUUAAUGUGAAUCACUUCAGGACUGU